UUAUCUUAGUAAAUCAAAAACUUGGACCAAAUCUUGAUAGAGUUUUUCUUCCUUAACAUUAUAGUUGGUAUGAUGGUUGAUAUUGAGUGUCAACUUGAUUGGAUGAAAGGAUGCAAAUUAUAGUUCCUGGGUGUGUCGGUGAGGGUGUUGCGAAAGGAGAUUAACAUUUGAGUUAGUGGACUGGGAGAGGCAGACCCACCCUCGAUCUGGGUGGGGACCAUCUAAUCAGCCGCCAGCACAGCUAGAAAAAAGCAGACAGGAGAGGAUGGAACUGCAGGCCUGCUGAGUCUUUGGCCUUCAUCUUUCUCCCGUGCUGGAUGCUUCCUGACCUCGAACAUCAGACUCCAAGUUCUUCAGCUUUUGGACUGUUUGCCAGAGGCUGUCAGGCCUUCGGCCACAGACUGAAAGGCUGCAGUGUCCGCUUCCCUACUUAUGAGAUUUUGGGACUUGAACUGGCUUCCUGGCUCCUCAGCUCACAAACGGCCUAUUGUGGAACUUCAUUUUGCCAUCCCACUCUGCUUUCCAUAUCCUACCAGGAGGCUUCAAUCUUUAUUGUGACAGCCAUUAAAUUUAUACCAAUACAUGGAAGUAAGUUAUCUGUGAAAAACAUUUCUUCAGUUACAUUUUGUCUUCUUGCCUCCACUAAUAUAAAAGCUUACUGUCAUUUUGUUGAGCCUUUGAAAGAUUUUAGUUAGGGCCUCUCUCCAGAAGGGCAGCUGGAAUUUUACAUGGUGACUCCAGGCUCCAGAAGACUCAGAAGAAGAUGUCAGUCAAUUUUAAGGCUUGGGCCUAAUAUGCAGUCUUCUUCUGGGCCAUCACCUACCUUCUCAGCCUCCUCCACAAAGGCAGAGACAGCAGAUUUCCUCAGUGAACUUCUUCUACUUAUUAAAAAAAAGUAACUGUAAAGCAGCCUCAAGGAGGUCCUUCAGGAGGCAUUCUGGAAGAAAGCAUUAUUGUCAUAGGUGAUGACAGCUCCAUGCAUGUGAUUUCCCCCAAAGACCUUCCAGUGGGACAAGACACAGUGGCAGAAGACAGCAAUUUUAAUGAAGCUAAUCUUGUGAAGGCCUAGGAUAAUGGCCCUGCCUGUGGAUAGUCACCAGUCAACAUUGGCAUCUCAAGGACAAGUUUGCCAAGAUUAGAAGUGCUUAUAUUUUGGGAACACGCUGGCCACUUGCACAUCAGAGAUCUCUGCUAUUAGAGAAAUUAUUUGGGAAUCCCUAGAAUGUUUGUAUGCUAGGCUAUUUCUUUUUGUGUUUAAAAUAUAUGGAACUUUCAAUGGAAGACUUUAAAAAUUACUCUUGUUUUGCCUAUGGCAUAAUACACAGAUAUAGUAAUUUUUAAAACCUUUGGUAAAUAAAGUAAAAAUUAUAAGGAAAACU
rnacentral:lncRNA from 1 species